AAACUAACAAGGAUUCCCCUAGUAACUGCGAGUGAAGCGGGAAAAGCUCAAAUUUAAAAUCUGGCGGUCUUCUGGCCGUCCGAGUUGUAGUCUGGAGAAGCGUUUUCCGCGUUGGACCGUGUACAAGUUUCCUGGAACGGAGCGUCAUAGAGGGUGAGAAUCCCGUCUUUGACACGGAUCCCAAUGCUUUGUGAUGCGCUCUCAAAGAGUCGAGUUGUUUGGGAAUGCAGCUCAAAAUGGGUGGUGAAUUCCAUCUAAAGCUAAAUAUUGGCGAGAGACCGAUAGCGAACAAGUACCGUGAGGGAAAGAUGAAAAGCACUUUGGAAAGAGAGUUAAACAGUACGUGAAAUUGUUGAAAGGGAAACGCUUGAAGUCAGUCGCGUCGGCCGGGACUCAGCCUUGCAUCCGCUUGGUGUACUUUCCGGUCGACGGGCCAGCAUCAGUUUCGACCGCGAGAUAAAGGCGGAGGGAAUGUGGCUCUCUCGGGAGUGUUAUAGCCCUUCGUCAGAUGUCGCGGUUGGGACUGAGGAACUCAGCACGCCUUUAUGGCCGGGGCUCGCCCACGUACGUGCUUAGGAUGCUGGCGUAAUGGCUUUAAACGACCCGUCUUGAAACACGGACCAAGGAGUCUAACAUGCCUGCGAGUGUUCGGGUGGAAAACCCGUGCGCGCAAUGAAAGUGAAAGUUGGGAUCCCUGUCGUGGGGUGCACCGACGCCCGGCCCAGACCUUUUGUGACGGAGCUGCGGUAGAGCAUGUAUGUUGGGACCCGAAAGAUGGUGAACUAUGCCUGAAUAGGGUGAAGCCAGAGGAAACUCUGGUGGAGGCUCGUAGCGAUUCUGACGUGCAAAUCGAUCGUCAAAUUUGGGUAUAGGGGCGAAAGACUAAUCGWACCAUNUAGUAGCUGGUUCCGN
rnacentral:rRNA from 1 species